rnacentral:tRNA from 1 species
AGUUAAAGCCCGGGGCACAAUUUCUUUGAAAGUAAUUCAUAAAGUGUUCAACUCACUUAUUAACUU